UACGUAGGAUGCAAGCGUUAAUCGGAAUUACUGGGCGUAAAGCGUGCGCAGGCGGUUUUGUAAGUCUGACGUGAAAUCCCCGGGCUCAACCUGGGAAUUGCGUUGGAGACUGCAAGGCUGGAGUCUGGCAGAGGGGGGUAGAAUUCCACGUGUAGCAGUGAAAUGCGUAGAGAUGUGGAGGAACACCGAUGGCGAAGGCAGCCCCCUGGGUCAAGACUGACGCUCAUGCACGAAAGCGUGGGGAGCAAACAGG
rnacentral:rRNA from 1 species